ensembl:lncRNA
AAUUAGUCAACAGUCAACAGAAUGACUGGGAUGUGUAUCUGGAUGCUACACUGUUUUCUUUGAGGUCCAAGGUCCACACCACAACCAAAUACACACCAUUCCGUUUAAUGUAUGGGAGAGAGGCUACGUAUCCUUCUGAAGUUCCUGUCGAAGUCCCAUCUUCAACUCAUAUUGGAUGUAAAGAAACAUGCAACAUGCACUGAGCUUGUGGAAGUCUGGAAAUGGAUCUGCCUUAAAGAGGCUAUGGGCUGCAAAGGAUACUGGGCGCUUGGAAUCAGUUGUUGGACCAUACAAGUUAUUUGAUUCCUCUUUUCGAACACUGCAGGGGUCACGGUGGCUUUCUGAUGAGGUCAUUGAUGCAUACCUGCACCGUGUUAUUGAGAG